CUUGUCGGUGGUCGCUCCACCGAAGCACGAGUCUCCAGAGUACUUCACUAGGGGCAGACGUAGUUGUCCCGCAGACGGUCUCGGUGUGCGAGUGCAGCUUCUCCUCACCUAUGAGAUUGAGAGUGAGUCGAGGGUUUAACCUACGGGUUAACCAAGUAGAUUGGGUAAUAAACAUGGAAUGCAUAGUAGACUUGCAUUAUUACCUUGAGUAGACAUAGUGUAUGUUGUAGUUUACAUUACUAUGCACUUUUAUAUGCUCAUGACAUAAUACUAGCAUGAUAGUAGUUGUUGCAUACAUUAUUAUC
rnacentral:lncRNA from 1 species